CCUACGGGAGGCUGCAGUGAGGAAUAUUGGUCAAUGGCCGAGAGGCUGAACCAGCCAAGUCGCGUGAGGGAAGAAGGCCCUACGGGUUGUAAACCUCUUUUGUCGGGGAGCAAAGGGAGUGACGAGUGCCUCAUUGAGGGUACCCGAAGAAAAAGCAUCGGCUAACUCCGUGCCAGCAGCCGCGGUAAUACGGAGGAUGCGAGCGUUAUCCGGAUUUAUUGGGUUUAAAGGGUGCGCAGGCGGAGGGGCAAGUCAGCGGUAAAAGCGCGGGGCUCAAUCCCGUACAGCCGUUGAAACUGCAUCCCUUGAGAUGGCGAGAGGUAUGCGGAAUGCGUGGUGUAGCGGUGAAAUGCUUAGAUAUCGCGCAGAACUCCGAUUGCGAAGGCAGCAUACCGGCGCGCAACUGACGCUGAUGCACGAAAGCGUGGGUAUCGAACAGGAUUAGAUACCCCGGUAGUC
rnacentral:rRNA from 1 species